rnacentral:rRNA from 1 species
UUACCUGAAGCCUCGGGGGACGAUAACGGCGUCGAGCGGCGGACGGGUGAGUAAUGCCUAGGAAAUUGCCCUGAUGUGGGGGAUAACCAUUGGAAACGAUGGCUAAUACCGCAUGAUGCCUACGGGCCAAAGAGGGGGACCUUCGGGCCUCUCGCGUCAGGAUAUGCCUAGGUGGGAUUAGCUAGUUGGUGAGGUAAGGGCUCACCAAGGCGACGAUCCCUAGCUGGUCUGAGAGGAUGAUCAGCCACACUGGAACUGAGACACGGUCCAGACUCCUACGGGAGGCAGCAGUGGGGAAUAUUGCACAAUGGGCGCAAGCCUGAUGCAGCCAUGCCGCGUGUGUGAAGAAGGCCUUCGGGUUGUAAAGCACUUUCAGUCGUGAGGAAGGUGGUGUCGUUAAUAGCGGCAUUACUUGACGUUAGCGACAGAAGAAGCACCGGCUAACUCCGUGCCAGCAGCCGCGGUAAUACGGAGGGUGCGAGCGUUAAUCGGAAUUACUGGGCGUAAAGCGCAUGCAGGUGGUUUGUUAAGUCAGAUGUGAAAGCCCGGGGCUCAACCUCGGAAUAGCAUUUGAAACUGGCAGACUAGAGUACUGUAGAGGGGGGUAGAAUUUCAGGUGUAGCGGGUGAAAUGCGUAGAGAUCUGAAGGAAUACCGGUGGCGAAGGCGGCCCCCUGGACAUAUACUGACACUCAGAUGCGAAAGCGGGGGGGAGCAAACAGGAUUAGAUACCCUGGUAGUCCACACCGUAGACGAUGUCUACUUGGAGAUUGUGGCCUUGCCCCCAGGCUUUCGGAUCUAACGCAUUAAGUAGAUCGCCUGGGGAGUGCCGUCGCCUGAUAAAUACUAAAAUGCAAUGACAAAGGGCGCGCACAAGC